UUUCCGUUAAUCAAGAACGAAAGUUAGAGGUUCGAAGGCGAUCAGAUACCGCCCUAGUUCUAACCAUAAACGAUGCCAGCCAGCGAUCCGCCGAAGUUCCUCCGAUGACUCGGCGGGCAGCUUCCGGGAAACCAAAGCUUUUGGGUUCCGGGGGAAGUAUGGUUGCAAAGCUGAAACUUAAAGGAAUUGACGGAAGGGCACCACCAGGAGUGGAGCCUGCGGCUUAAUUUGACUCAACACGGGAAACCUCACCAGGCCCGGACACCGGAAGGAUUGACAGAUUGAGAGCUCUUUCUUGAUUCGGUGGGUGGUGGUGCAUGGCCGUUCUUAGUUGGUGGAGCGAUUUGUCUGGUUAAUUCCGGUAACGAACGAGACUCUAGCCUGCUAAAUAGACGAUUUCCGGUAUCCACAAUAGUGCUACCGGCGAAAUCAAUAUCUUCUUAGAGGGACAGGCGGCUUUCAGCCGCACGAAACUGAGCAAUAACAGGUCUGUGAUGCCCUUAGAUGUCCUGGGCCGCACGCGCGCUACACUGAAGGAAUCAGCGUGUACACCCUGGCCGAAAGGCUCGGGCAACCCGUUGAACCUCCUUCGUGCUAGGGAUUGGGGCUUGCAAUUGUUCCCCAUGAACGAGGAAUUCCCAGUAAGCGCGAGUCAUAAGCUCGCGUUGAUUACGUCCCUGCCCUUUGUACACACCGCCCGUCGCUACUACCGAUUGAAUGAUUUAGUGAGGUCUUCGGACUGGUGCGCGGCGGCCGCCUGCGCGGCCGCCGAUGCCACCGGGAAGAUGACCGAACUUGAUCAUUUAGAGGAAGUAAAAGUCGUAACAA
rnacentral:rRNA from 1 species